AACGAACGCUGGCGGCAUGCCUAACACAUGCAAGUCGAACGAGACCUUCGAGUCUAGUGGCGCACGGGUGCGUAACGCGUGGGAACCUGCCCUUAGGUUCGGAAUAACUCCCCGAAAGGGGUGCUAAUACCGGACAAUGUCUUCGGACCAAAGAUUUAUCGCCUUUGGAUGGGCCCGCGUUGGAUUAGCUAGUUGGUAGGGUAAAAGCCUACCAAGGCGACGAUCCAUAGCUGGUCUGAGAGGAUGAUCAGCCACACUGGGACUGAGACACGGCCCAGACUCCUACGGGAGGCAGCAGUGGGGAAUAUUGGACAAUGGGCGAAAGCCUGAUCCAGCAAUGCCGCGUGAGUGAUGAAGGCCUUAGGGUUGUAAAGCUCUUUUACCCGGGAUGAUAAUGACAGUACCGGGAGAAUAAGCUCCGGCUAACUCCGUG
rnacentral:rRNA from 1 species